CUUGAUGGCGACCGGCGCACGGGUGAGUAACGCGUAUGCAACCUGCCCGAUACCGGGGUAUAGCCCAUGGAAACGUGGAUUAACACCCCAUAGUACUUUUAUCCUGCCUGGGAUGGGAGUUAAAUGUUCAAGGUAUCGGAUGGGCAUGCGUCCUAUUAGUUAGUUGGCGGGGUAACAGCCCACCAAGACGAUGAUAGGUAGGGGUUCUGAGAGGAAGGUCCCCCACAUUGGAACUGAGACACGGUCCAA
rnacentral:rRNA from 1 species